UAACAUCACGUUCUUACCGAUAAGAAAUAAAUCGUUUUCUAAGAUGUUGCGCUAAGUUACAUGAGAGUCGUAGGAGUGGAGUUUUACAGUUGAGUUUAUUCUUUAACUUCUCUAGAAUUUACCAUAUUUCUUUUUUUAGAAGAAAAAGAUUUAUGAAGCAUUUUAAUAAAAAAAUUACUUCCUAUAAUUAAAAAUUUUAAAAAUAACCAGUGCCAUUUGUAAUAAAAAUUAUGCCGGGUGAUUAAUCACAGACAAAAGUGUUUUUAAAGUGAAAAUUCAACUAAACAGCCGACCUGAUUCUGUGAAAUCUUCAGAUUCGUUGAAACAGACGGAGUAAUCGUCUGGUAUAUCAUUUAACGACUCUUCAGAAGCGAGGGAUGCAACACAUGUGUUUUAAACACACUCUGAUUUUGGCAAUUAUCACGAGAAUCUAAUAGGACACUUGUCAUAACAAUCUACAGGAGAUCAGUGCAUGAGAUCAUGCAAUUCAGUUACGCAAUGUACAUGAAGCUAUGACCGCUGACUCUCCGCCUACUUGCAAUAUUCCUUCAACCCAUAUUUGCGUGACACUGGUAUAUUGAAAGAUGCUGGACAUUUUGGACAUCGAUGAGGUUUCUCUUCAGCAUGUUGUUCCAUAUGCUUACGGUAAAGGAUUUGUUUCUUGAACUCUUCACCACAAAUUUCACAUUUAUGAUCCGUCUGGAAUAAAUAAAAUAUAUUAAAA